rnacentral:rRNA from 1 species
AGCCAGGUGUCUUCACGCUUGGUUAUUUCUGCUCAAUGGUAAGCUAAAUAGCCGCAGUACCCUGACUGUGCAAAGGUAGCAUAAUCAUUUGGCUUAUAAUUGAAGUCUGGCAUGAAGGAAGUCAUGGGUAGCAACUGUCUUCUAUAAACUGUUAGAAAUUACUAAAUAGGUGAAAAUACCUAUAAAUUAAUAAUAGACGAGAAGACCCUAGAAAUUUUAAUAUAAAAGUAUUUUUAACUUACUAUUUUGUUGGGGCGACAGAAUAACAGUUGAACUUAUUUUAAUAUAUUUGUACUAAUUUUUGAGUAAAAUUAAAUUACUUUAGGGAUAACAGCAUAAUUUACUUAAGUUUGUGACCUCGAUGUUGGACUAGGGUUUUUAAUAAUCAGAAGUUAUUAAACUAGGCUCUGUUCGAGCCUCAUUUCCU